UGGCCUGUUAGGAUUACUAUGGUUGUUUUCUGAAAUUUCCGAUGAUUCGCCGGAAGAACUCUGACGGCCAUUGCAAUGUGCCGCUGGCGGUGUCUCGGCGUUGAUACUUACUAUUUCGAGAGUUUGGAAAGGAAAUGUUGAAAUCCGAGAGCAGGGCCUACCAACUACCAAGUUAGUUUUCUUUCCACGAUGGUUCUCCACCAUUUCUACUCUUUUACUUUAUAUAUUUGCGCCCACAGUUUCCAAAAAGAGAUGAGAACACACUUUUAAACCACACACCGCGAAACACGAGGGAAAAGAAAAACUGCUUUCAAAUGUUUUUUAAAGCUGGAAAAUUUGUUUUUUACAGAUAGCUAAGCGUUAAUGAAGUUUUCUAGAAAAAGAAAACUUUAGUCAAAAGGGGGAUAGAAAAACAAUUCAUUUCUCUGUGAAUGAUACUGAUUUUGCUCGGAUUAAACUCCAUUUUAGUUCCUUUAUUCUUUGAAUAAAUUGAUUGUGCGGCCUUGAAAAUAUGCAAGUGAGCAUAUUCGAAGUCAAAAUGGUUACUUUUUAGAAAUGGUGGCGAGGGAUUAAGAUAAGAUAUAUUAGAAGUUCUAUGAACAAUUUCAUAUUCCGCUCUAUUUUAAGUUUGGACACGAAUGUUUCACAAUUCGCAAAGACCCCCCAAGCUUUUCUUUUAGAAAAAUGUCCAAUUCCCAAUCCUAUCAGCUAACUGAAGUAUGGCUGGUCUAGGGCCACUCUGGUUUUAUCUGCAUGACAAAGUGGGUCAGGACUGAGACAAUCUAUAAGCCUUAUUUAUCAUUCCAUCUUUGAAACUCACAAAUCCAUCAUUUUUAUUCAAUUACUCUCUUAUCCCCAUAUCCUUUUUUCCAUGCCCCGACCCUACCAUUAUCCAUUUACUUUCUGACAUGCCCCAUUCUCAUCCAUCCAUCUAUCAUAUUGGGACUACUUGUUCUUAUACUCGAAGAACCAUUUAGACAAGUCCUGAAGAGAAUACCAUUCCCCAUGGACGGGAAAGUUGACCGAACAAAUCAGAAGUUGAAUGGUCGGCUUAACGAGAUUGUUGACAAGAGAAUGAAGCGUAACGUUCGAGGGGACGGUAUGAAGGAAUGUUUUCACUCCAGACUCUACAUCAGCGCAGUCACAUACGAACACCCUACUUGUUGCUGGGUCAGCUACCACGGCGUUCCCUUUGUCUUCUGUUGUAUAUUUAGUUGCUGGACAUCCGGAAGUCGGGAAGAAGUUGCUUGAAGCGAUCGACAACUUUGGUCAAUCAGAUCAGAUACCAAUAGACAAUGAUCUUCAGAAGAAGUUUUCAUAUCUAGAACAGGCUAAGUCGUUUCUGGUCUAUUGUUCUCAUUUCUGUGGUUUAGGACUUCGCACAUUAAGUCAUUUCAAUUAGCAGAAUGUUCUGCUUUCAGUUUGAAUGCAAGUAUCUAUCAUCAAAACUAUGAGAAAAGAAGAUUAUGUAUGUUUCUUGAAAGCUUAGGCUAAUUGUUCUAAAGAUCAUGUGCAUAAGUGGGAAAGACAAGAUGGAUAACUAAAGACCAACAAGAGGAACGAACCAUUCUCCAUUGGACAUUGCAGGUUGUUUUAGUUCAACGUGGCCUUCGAAACAAUACAAACUCUCUCUAGUGAUACACAAUUUUGAUGGAAGGAAUUAAGAUAUAAGGCAGUGCAGAACUCUUCUUCUAGAAUGACCAGAAACAGGGCCUCUAUCUUAUUGCUCAUGACCUUAGCUUUGUUCCAUUCUUACCCAAUUGGGUUGGCAGCAUCAAUGGCUUGAAGGGGUUGACUGAUGAAUCAGAGCCAGCACUGCUCUUAGAAUCCCCAUUGGAGAAAGCUGCCGACUUCUUAAGGAAUUGAAAUUCAUCCAUGGACUGCCUUUGAAUUCGGUGCGAUAAGUGACUAUUUGUCUUCUGCUUCGCCCUUGUCGACUCGAUUGAAGAUGAAGCAGAGCUCUCAUCAUACCAGAAAUCAGAACUUGGGCUAGAACAAGAACGAGCUUGCCCACUUGAGGGAGGUUUAGCAG